UAUCAAGUGCUAGCCUCGAUCCCAGGCCGAGUUUUCGCUUUUAUAACGGUUAGGCGAACAACUGGGCCUGGUACUAGUUGUCUGCGCAUGCGUCAGUCGUUCGUCAGAUUCUGACGAAUGGAUAUUCUCGUUCACUUUCGUGACAUUUAUAUUCGUGUACUAUCAAGUACUAGAAGUCAGUUUCCGUUUUAUCAUUAUUGGAAUCGAUUGGAAUGGCUCUUAGCUGAAGCUUCUCUCUUCUCUGAAGCUUAUUCUGAAGACUGAACAACAAGGGAAGAGGUAUAAAGCUUUGUCAAGCUUGUUAAAGGUCAGAUAUUUUUGUGUGGGCCCUAUGGCUAUGCUAUCAAGUAUUGUUCAUGUUUGGCAAGAUCUACCGGUACGUAGGUAGACUAUAGUUUCAUCAUUAAUAUGGUGGAUCAAGUGAAGAGUGUGAGCUAGAGAACUUGGUGCUGCCAUCAUCAGCUCGUCGACAAUGACACUAUAACCGAGAAAUUUAAUAUGUAUAGAUCUACACGUAUUUAAAAUGUCUACUUCUCUGUACAGGAGCAAUGGCUAAUAUCCAGCUAUCCCAACAGUGCUCCUCUUGGCUAUACUAACAGACGAGACUGGACAGUUUGAGGACUGGAGUAUGACCUGCUCAUUCGAGCGUUGCUGGGUAGCUCAGAGACAUCAAGAGAAUCUAUGUUUUCUCAAGCAAAAUUUAACUGAGUUACGAGUUGGGGCCUAGAAUCACAGAAGUCCAGCAGCCUGCUAAAUCUUUUUGAAACGUAAUUGGAAGGCAUUCAAUCAUCCUGAAGUUGCCCUGGGUCACUGUAAUUGUGCUGCAGCACAACUGGCAACUCCCCAGGCCUUUGUGAAGCAGCUCCCUAUGUGCAUCUUUUGUGUACUCACUCUGUGCAUUUUCUGUGUACAAAUUUCUAUUAUUGAUUUAUUAAAUAUUUUUGCCGACCACAAAUAUACAAUGAAAAUUUGACGCAUGCGCAGACAACUAGUACCAGGCCCAGUUGUUCGCCUAACCGUUAUAAAAGCGAAAACUCGGCCUGGGAUCGAGGCUAAUCAAGUGCUUACCACCCACAAACAAAUGGCCUUGAUGAACGCUUCAACCAGACUCUAGUGAACACUCUCAAGAAGGUAAUCGAUUCUAGUACUGAUGACUGGGAUCAGCAUCUCUCUGCUGCUCUUUAUGCCUAUCGCAUAUCUGUGAUGUACUCUGUACUAUGGACUAUUGGUGUCAUAAUUGGACAACCCUUUGGAUCAUUGGUUCCAGACUGUUCUUAUUUAUUCUAGAUUGUUCUCAAUAGACUCAGGGAUUUUCUAGUUGUUUCCUGUUCUUUUAUUUGUUCUAGAUCAUUCUAGAUACUUAGAUUGGUAUAUAAGCAGGUGUGUUUUGUUAUACAGUGUGUUGCAAUUAAAUGUUGAAGGUCAUUCUAUUGUGAUUAUGUUCCGAAUACAAGGCAUACCGCUCGGCUUUGUUACAAUAUCAAAACAGGUAAAAUUUUAAAUGCAUGCAUAUAUUAUUUUUUUUAUUGUAGGCAUCAUCAAAGUACACACCCUUUUCCCUAAUGUUCAAUCGCCACCCGCGGAAAGCUGUUACUUUUGAUAUGGAUCAACGAGAUGGUGCCGACGCUAUAGAAGAUAGAGGAGAUGCUGACCAAUUGAGUGGAGAGGAGACUGAAAAUGAAGAAGACGGAGAAGACAUGGAUGGAAUUCUCCGAAGGUUGAUGGAAAUUCGUGACCGCUGUCACCUCAAUGCCAAGGAGAACAUUGCUGCUGCACAGCAAAAACAGAAGCAGCAGUAUGACAACAAGCAUAACUCUUUGAAGAGUUAUCCAGUUGGCAGCAGUGUCAUGCUAAAGAAUAUGGCCAAUUCUCAUCGAAUGGGAGGGAAAAUGGACUGCACCUGGAAAGGUCCAUAUAUUGUCCAUAAGAUCCUUGACAAGGGUAGAUACGAGUUGCAGUCUGGGAGCGGCAAAGUAUUGAAAAAGUGUUACAAUGGGUACUGCUAAAGGAAUACUACUCUCCAGAAACCAACGAUGAAGAAAACACUCUUCCUGGCUCUGAAGACAACCACUCUUCUCCAGUCAAAUCACCUCCUAUAAGAAUAAACGAAUGCCUGACGUACCCUCUCAAAAUCCUGACCUACCCUCUCAAAAUCCUGACCUACCCUCUCAAAAGCCUGAUGUACCCUCUCAAAAUCCUGACCUACCCUCUCAAAAGCCUGAUGUACCCUCUCAAAAGCCUAACAUAUACCCUCUCAAAAGCCUGACCUACCCUCUCAAAAGCAAGAUAAGCGUGAUAAGCGCCCUCUUGACACAAAAGAUCCUUGCAAGUCACCUCCUAUAGGAAGAAACAAAAGAGUCAGGAACGAUGUGGCUGAAGACCCUAGAUCUAAACCUCUUUGACAAACAAGUGUUGAGUGCAAUAGGUGGUAUGCUCUCCGACAAGCAUAUGCGUGCAGCCCACCAGUUAUUAUCGAUGCAAUUCCUUAAGUUUGAAGGCUGCUAUAAUACUCUCUUGGCCCAAUUAAAGGCAUUUCCACCAGUUUCCAAUAAUCAAGGCCCAGCUGUGAAAAUCUUCUUUGUUGAAGAACGACAGCACUGCAUGGAUUGCCACUUCUCUGUUUAAGGGUGAACUGUAUUUGUACGACAGCUGCUUCAAUGGAACGCUUUCCCCAAGUACUGAGCUCCAGAUAGCACAAGGCCCAUUAAUUCAAUGCAAUGGGCUGUUGAUUUCUGUGGUGGCUCUCCAGCAGCAAGAUGGUGCUAUCAACUGCGGACUAUUUAGCAUUGCUGCUGCAUAUCACGCUGCUAUGAACGAUAAUGUGGAUUCUCUAGUGUUUGAUGAGGCCAAAAUGAGAGCACAUCUCAUUAAGUGCUUUGAGAAGGGCAAACUCACGGUUCCCUUGCACAAAGAAAGCGAUGCCCAAAAGACCAACACCACAAACCAUUGCCAUUACAAUAUACUGCAUGUGCAAGAGACCGGACUCUUUUGAGGAUAUGGUCAUGUGUGACAAAUGUAUAGUGAGUGGUAUCACUAUAUCGCUGUGCCAAAAUUCGCAAAGAAUCAGUAGGUGAUUGGUUUUGUUCUGGUUGUAUCACUUUAUGAUUUGUGCACUUUUGGUUAUAUUUAUUGUACUUCUUUCUCUUGCAUUGUUGUAUAUAUUGAGUGUUGAGAUCUAUAACAUAAUAGAUACAGCAUCUAUUGCAUCUAGUUAGGCUUUGUCUAUGGCUGUUACUUCGUAGCCUAGACUAGUCCUCUCAGAUUACCUGUGGACUGACUUUCACCUGCACCGCAGAAUGGGGGAGCUCUGGUCCUGGAGUAGGAGCUUUUGUCCUAGGACAGAAACUCCGGGGGGAGGAAAUAUCCUAAGGACGGAACC